rnacentral:rRNA from 1 species
AACGAACGCUGGCGGCAGGCUUAACACAUGCAAGUCGAGCGCCUCGCAAGGGGAGCGGCAGACGGGUGAGUAACGCGUGGGAACAUGCCCAAAGGUACGGAACAACUCCGGGAAACUGGAGCUAAUACCGUAUGUGACCGAGAGGUGAAAGAUUUAUCGCCUUUGGAUUGGCCCGCGUUGGAUUAGCUAGUUGGUGGGGUAAAGGCCUACCAAGGCGACGAUCCAUAGCUGGUCUGAGAGGAUGAUCAGCCACACUGGGACUGAGACACGGCCCAGACUCCUACGGGAGGCAGCAGUGGGGAAUAUUGGACAAUGGGCGCAAGCCUGAUCCAGCCAUGCCGCGUGUGUGAUGAAGGCCUUAGGGUUGUAAAGCACUUUCGCCAGGGACGAUAAUGACGGUACCUGGAUAAGAAGCCCCGGCUAACUUCGUGCCAGCCGCCGCAGUAAAAC